UGUUAUUUCAUGGCCUAGUGGUUAUAGUGUCCGCUUCGGAUGCGGAAGUUCGCGGGUUCGAAACCUGGCGGAGUCAU